ensembl:lncRNA
GUGUGUGUGUGGGUGUGGGUGUGUGUAAUAUUGAUGUCUUAUGUGCAUGUUCUUUUCUGUCUCCCUAAUGAAAGCAACUCUAGAUACAGGCGACUGCCGGAGGCUCAGUAAAAAGCCUGUCCUCAGCAGCUCUCAGAGGUCUGGGAAAUGUCCUCCCAGUUUAUCGUCUCCGUGUGACAGCCCUCCUGCUCUCCAGCCCGCUAAGGUCCCUCGGCCCCUGCGACCCCCCGGUGGAAACCCUGCAGCUGCGUCGGGCACCAUGAAGUCUGACGGUCUGGGUCCGACGGCACACGCACCCUCUGCCACGAAGACCAAACCCCCCAGCAAUGAGCCACAGCCCUGCAGCAAGGCUAGGCCGGCUGCUGGCGCAACCAACAGGAAAUCGCCAUCCGCCAAUAAAGCCGUCGUGAACGGUAGCGCAGACUCUGUGACCCGGAGGGAAGACUCCUUCGCUAACGGACCUCGGAGCUCAGCCCCGGGUAAAGCAACGGCGGACAAGAGGCCCGUACUGGGGGCCCGGCCCAGGGCCUCCACCGCCGGGUCGGGUGGGUCGGCGGGGAAACCCACCAAGGCUGCAACAUCAGGGAAGGACUUGACUCAGGGCCCCCACUGCAACAGCCCUGUGAAUGCCCCCCGGGCUCAGACCACGCCCUCCAGCAGCAUUGGGAACGCCCCCCGGGCUCAGACCACGCCCUCCACGUCGGGCAGCGCCUCCCCAGACAGCAGCACGAGCAGUCCACGGAACAGCGGCCAUGUUGCCUCUGCAGCUCUCAGGCCAAAAUCCCAAACCAAGUCAACAACAAAAUCCCCACUGACCAAAACUGUCCAGAAACCCAACACAGACAAGACUAACAGCCCCACACACAAGGCGAGUAGGACCAGGACCACGGCGGGUAACAGAGCGGGCCUCGGUAGCCCUGCAGUGACCCGUACAGAGCUGAAGAGAGGCCUGCCUGGGGCGACCCCUCCUCAGACCCACGGUAGGACCACACCUCUGUGAGGUGCUCGGGAU